AUUGUCCUACGGGGCGCAGCAGUGGGGAAUAUUGCACAAUGGGGGAAACCCUGAUGCAGCAACGCCGCGUGAGUGAAGAAGUCAUUCGUGAUGUAAAGCUCUAUCAGCAGGGAAGAAAAUGACGGUACCUGAGUAAGAAGCCCCGGCUAACUACGUGACAGCAGCCGCGGUAAUAAGUAGGGGGCAAGCGUUAUCCGGAUUUACUGGGUGUAAAGGGAGCGUAGCCGGCCAGACAAGUCUGAAGUGAA
rnacentral:rRNA from 1 species